GACGAACGCUGGCGGCGUGCUUAACACAUGCAAGUCGAACGGUAAGGCCCUUCGGGGUACACGAGUGGCGAACGGGUGAGUAACACGUGGGUGAUCUGCCCUGCACUUCGGGAUAACUGCGGGAAACUGUAGCUAAUACCGGAUACGACACCUUGGGGCAUCCCAGGGUGUGGAAAGAAUUUCGGUCAAGGAUGAGCUCGCGGCCUAUCAGCUAGUUGGUGAGGUAAUGGCUCACCAAGGCGACGACGGGUAGCCGGCCGGAGAGGGUGACCGGCCACACUGGAACUGAGACACGGUCCAGACUCCUACGGGAGGCAGCAGUGGGGAAUAUUGCACAAUGGGCGAAAGCCUGAUGCAGCAACGCCGCGUGAGGGAUGAAGGCCUUCGGGUUGUAAACCUCUUUUAGCAGGGAAGAAGCGAAAGUGACGGUACCUGCAGAAAAAGCACCGGCUAACUACGUGCCAGCAGCCGCGGUAA
rnacentral:rRNA from 1 species